rnacentral:rRNA from 1 species
GACGAACGCUGGCGGCGUGCUUAACACAUGCAAGUCGAACGGAAAGGCCCUGCGUUUGUGGGGUGCUCGAGUGGCGAACGGGUGAGUAACACGUGAGUAACCUGCCCUUGACUUUGGGAUAACUUCAGGAAACUGGGGCUAAUACCGGAUAGGAGCUCCUGCUGCAUGGUGGGGGUUGGAAAGUUUCGGCGGUUGGGGAUGGACUCGCGGCUUAUGAGCUUGUUGGUGGGGUAGGGGCUUACCAAGGCUUUGACGGGUAGCCGGCCUGAGAGGGUGACCGGCCACAUUGGGCCUGAGAUACGGCCCAGACUCCUACGGGAGGCAGCAGUGGGGAAUAUUGCACAAUGGGCGGAAGCCUGAUGCAGCAACGCCGCGUGCGGGAUGACGGCCUUCGGGUUGUAAACCGCUUUCGCCUGUGACGAAGCGUGAGUGACGGUAAUGGGUAAAGAAGCACCGGCUAACUACGUG